AUAACAGAAAUAGGUUUUCGUUUGAUUUGAUCUUAUGGGUUGGGAGAAUGCAAGUCUCAAGGAACAUUAGUGGUUCACAUUUGGAAUUCCCUGGAGGGGAAGCCAGUUGGGUGAUGUGAGAUAUGAGGUAAAUUAUUGUUUUAUGAUAUUUACGUCCGUUAUGUCUUCUACCAUAUUUGACA